UCGACGAACUCUGGUAUUGAUUGGUGCUUGCAUCAUGAUUUACAUUUGAGUGAGUGGCGAACUGGUGAGUAACACGUGGGAAACCUGCCCAGAAGCGGGGGAUAACACCUGGAAACAGAUGCUAAUACCGCAUAACAACUUGGACCGCAUGGUCCGAGCUUGAAAGAUGGCUUCGGCUAUCACUUUUGGAUGGUCCCGCGGCGUAUUAGCUAGAUGGUGAGGUAACGGCUCACCAUGGCAAUGAUACGUAGCCGACCUGAGAGGGUAAUCGGCCACAUUGGGACUGAGACACGGCCCAAACUCCUACGGGAGGCAGCAGUAGGGAAUCUUCCACAAUGGACGAAAGUCUGAUGGAGCAACGCCGCGUGAGUGAAGAAGGGUUUCGGCUCGUAAAACUCUGUUGUUAAAGAAGAACAUAUCUGAGAGUAACUGUUCAGGUAUUGACGGUAUUUAACCAGAAAGCCACGGCUAACUACGUGCCAGCAGCCGCGGUAAUACGUAGGUGGCAAGCGUUGUCCGGAUUUAUUGGGCGUAAAGCGAGCGCAGGCGGUUUUUUAAGUCUGAUGUGAAAGCCUUCGGCUCAACCGAAGAAGUGCAUCGGAAACUGGGAAACUUGAGUGCAGAAGAGGACAGUGGAACUCCAUGUGUAGCGGUGAAAUGCGUAGAUAUAUGGAAGAACACCAGUGGCGAAGGCGGCUGUCUGGUCUGUAACUGACGCUGAGGCUCGAAAGUAUGGGUAGCAAACAGGAUUAGAUACCCUGGUAGUCCAUACCGUAAACGAUGAAUGCUAAGUGUUGGAGGGUUUCCGCCCUUCAGUGCUGCAGCUAACGCAUUAAGCAUUCCGCCUGGGGAGUACGGCCGCAAGGCUGAAACUCAAAGGAAUUGACGGGGGCCCGCACAAGCGGUGGAGCAUGUGGUUUAAUUCGAAGCUACGCGAAGAACCUUACCAGGUCUUGACAUACUAUGCAAAUCUAAGAGAUUAGACGUUCCCUUCGGGGACAUGGAUACAGGUGGUGCAUGGUUGUCGUCAGCUCGUGUCGUGAGAUGUUGGGUUAAGUCCCGCAACGAGCGCAACCCUUAUUAUCAGUUGCCAGCAUUAAGUUGGGCACUCUGGUGAGACUGCCGGUGACAAACCGGAGGAAGGUGGGGAUGACGUCAAAUCAUCAUGCCCCUUAUGACCUGGGCUACACACGUGCUACAAUGGAUGGUACAACGAGUUGCGAACUCGCGAGAGUAAGCUAAUCUCUUAAAGCCAUUCUCAGUUCGGAUUGUAGGCUGCAACUCGCCUACAUGAAGUCGGAAUCGCUAGUAAUCGCGGAUCAGCAUGCCGCGGUGAAUACGUUCCCGGGCCUUGUACACACCGCCCGUCACACCAUGAGAGUUUGUAACACCCAAAGUCGGU
rnacentral:rRNA from 2 species